GACAGAGGUGCCGAGCGUUAGGCGGAAUCACUGGGCUUAAAGCGUGUGUAGGCGGACGGGUAAGUACCUUGUGAAAUCCCACGGCUCAACCGUGGAACUGCUGGGUAUACUGCCUGUCUUGAGUCAUCUAGAGGCGAGCGGAACAAAUGGUGGAGCGGUGAAAUGCGUAGAUAUCAUUUGGAACGCCAAUGGUGAAAACAGCUCGCUGGGGAUGUACUGACGCUGAGACACGAAAGCCAGGGGAGCAAACGGG
rnacentral:rRNA from 1 species